rnacentral:rRNA from 1 species
UACGUAGGGUGCAAGCGUUAAUCGGAAUUACUGGGCGUAAAGCGUGCGCAGGCGGUUAUGUAAGACAGGUGUGAAAUCCCCCGGGCUUAACCUGGGAAUUGCAUUUGUGACUGCAUGGCUAGAGUGUGUCAGAGGGGGGGUAGAAUUCCACGUGUAGCAGUGAAAUGCGUAGAUAUGUGGAGGAAUACCGAUGGCGAAGGCAGCCCCCCUGGGCCUGCACUGACGCUCAUGCACGAAAGCGUGGGGAGCAAACAGG